AAAAGCCUGCUUGUGGGCAACCAUGCGUCUCUCUGCUUCGUUCUAAAUUAUUAAAAUCACCAACGUUCGACUGUGUGAACUCAUUUCGUUGAAUUAUUAAUGAAAAAAAUCUAUUUACCAAUCAAAUUUAAUACUAAUAGUGCGUACACGCCAAUUUGUAGGUUGUUUUGAAGUUUAUUUGACAUUGGCGCAUUAUUUAUGGCUGGCUGCAUCAAUUUUCUCAUUACUAAUAGUUACUAAAAUGCAUAAUUGAUUAGGUGUACAACAGCAAAUAUAUUGCGGCUUGGCUAUUUAUACUGGCACACUAAAAUAUUCGAUUUUCAUAUACAGAUCUUGUCUCUUGUUAACCAGGAAGUCUGGAGUUCGACGGAUGGAUAAAAAGUCUAGAAUUAAAGGUGGGAUCCCUUCAGUUUCCAGAAGCAUUAAAUGUUUUGCUGUCAUUCUGUUCUACACAUUCGUUUUUGGCUAUUUAGUACCUAGUAUCGUUUAUGAAACAGUAAAAAGCUCAAUUUUUUGCUUUGCAUAAGUGUUUUGUUUUAUUUACGAAAUGAUUUAAAAAUAUAUUUUAAGUUAUUGUAUAAAAGUUAUUUUGUACGAUACAUAAUUGAAAAUUAUUGUAUUUUUGUUAUUACGAAUAAAUUUGCAAUAAAGGUUUGCGCCAAGCUGUUCACAAAGGAAAUAAAA